rnacentral:lncRNA from 1 species
GAUAGUUUGUGGGGGUGGUGACAGUCUGACAAUCAGAUUUAAUUAUAAAUCAGAAGGCACUUGGUUCCAAUGGAAGGACAAAGGAUAAAGAACCAAUGACAAGAGGCACAACAGUGGCCAAAAUGUCUUCCUGGUUGGAGCCAUGUAUACUUUGCCCACAGGCCCGAGGGAGCGGCACAAGGUCACUUCAGGAAAGCGCGUGGGGCACGCGUCCCUCCCACCAUGUCCCCCGACACCUGCGUGUGAGCAUGUUCUGCCCAUGGUUUAUUUCCAGAGAAGUGCCAGCCACCUAGAGAGUACAUUUCCUGCUGCCUGCACACUCCGGCUACACAGCGCACUGGCAGUGUUUUUAAAAAAUUUCAAGAUACUAAGGAGAUACAAAUGGUUUGCUACAUACAUACCUUAUAUAAUACUUAAGUUGGGGCUUUUAGUGUGCCCAUCACCAGAAGAGUGUUCAUUGUGCUUGACAGGUAAGUUUUUAUCCCUGACCCCCCUUCUUGGCUUCCAAUGUCCUUUACAUCUCUUUGUGCUUGUGUGUGCUCAUCAUUUAGCUCCCAAUUAUUAGUGAAUACAUGUGAUGUUUGUUUUUCCAUUAUAGAGAUAUAUCACUUAGGAUAAUGGUCUCCAGUUCCAUCCAAGUUGCUGCAAAAGAUGUUAUUUCAUUCCUUUUUAUGGCUGAGUAAUACCCCAUGGUAUAUAUAAUCCAUCAAUGCAAAGACAUAGAUGUACAUCCAUAAGAAACAACAGCAAAAAGGGAACCAUGACCUCCCAAACAAACAAAACAAUGAACCAGUGACUGAUCCUAAGACAACAGCAAAAUGUGAGCUCUCUGAUAAAGAAUAAAAAAUAAAAGUUUUAAGGAAACUCAGUGAUCUCCCAGAUAACACAGAAGAGCAAUUCAUAAAUUAAUCAGAGAUAUUUAACAAACAGAUUGGCUUUUUAAAAAAAGUCCAAAAACAAUAGAUGCUGGCAUGGAUGCAGAGAAAAAGGAGUACUUAUACACUCUUGGUGGAACUGCAAAUUAGUACAACCUCUAUGGAAAAGAGUAUGGAGAUUCCUCCAAGAACUAAAAGUAGACCUACCAUUUGAUCCAGCAAUCCCACUACUGGGUAUUUACCCAAAGGAAAAUAAGUCAUUUUAUCAAAAAGACACCUGAACUUGAGUGUUUACUGCAGAAUACACAUUCUUCUCAAAUGUCCAUGUAAAUAGCACAGUCAUAGCAUUGUUAAAAAAUAAAAAAAAAAAAAGAAAAAAAAAUGUCCAUGUAAAAUCCAUCAUGAUAGACCAUAACUUGGGUCAUAUAAAAAAAAUCAACAAAAUUAAGAUAAUCAAAAUCAUACAGAGUUUUUCCCAACCAUAAUGGAAUUAAACUAGAAACAAAUAGUACUAAAAAAAUCUUCAAACACUUGGAAAUUUAAAAGGCACACUUUGAAAGAAUACAUAUGUCAAAAAGAAGUCUCUGGUACUACAAACUAGUACAACUUCUAUGGAAAGCAAUAUGGAGAUACCUCAAAGAGAUACAAGUAGAACUACCAUUUGAUCCAGCAAUCCUAUUACUAGGCAUCUACCCAAAAGAACAAAAGACAUUCUAUAAAAAACACAUCUGCACUCGAAUGUUUAUAGCAGCACAAUUCACAAUUGCAAAGAUGUGGAAACAACCCAAGUGCCCAUUAAUACAUUAGUGGAUUAAUAAAAUGUGGCAUAUGUAUACCAUGGAGUUCUACUCAGCCACAAAAAACAAUGGUGAACUAGCACCUCUUGUAUUAUCCUGGAUGGAGCUGGAACACAUUCUACUAAGUGAAGUAUCCCAAGAAUGGAAAAACAAGCACCACAUGUACUCACCAUCAAAUUGGUAUCAACUGAUUGGUAUUAACUGUUCAACACUUAAGUGCACAUACAGUAAUAACAUUCAUCGGGUGUUGGGCAGGUGGGAGGGGGAGGAGAGGAUGGGUAUGUACACACCUAAUGGGUGCGGUGUGCACCAUCUAGGGGAUGGACAUGGUUGAAGCUCUGACUCGGGUGGGGCAAAGGCAAUAUAUGGAAUCUAAACAUUUGUACCCCUAUAAUAUGCUGAAAUUAAAAAAGAUAAUAUUAUAUGCUUUCAGGAUGGCCGACUGGUAGCACCAUAAUAUUUAAAAUAGAGUUCAGCAAAAAAAUAACUAAAUAAAAAUAAACCCCUCAUAAUAGUACCCACAAUAGCAGAGAUAAUUUGGCCACAACAUUAAACUAUUACUGGUGGGUUAAUUUUAGAGGUAUUGCUGAGGGCUCUUCCAAAACACAUCGUACCUGCCAACAACUGAAUUCUGGUAAAACUGUGAAGGUGGACAGUUUCCAAAAAUUCUGAAUACUUCCAAAUGGACUUUACACCAAUACCUCCUGCAGUGCGCUAUCAAUACAUUCUUGUUAUUAUUUGCUUUUCUUUACUGGGGAGCUACAGCCUUAUUUAACUUUAGCAAGAAAAAAAAAAAAAAAGAUUUGCUUUCAUGCAUCCAGCCUGGGAAAUUCCCAUUUCUUCUCCUCUAACAGCAGAAACACUUAUUUUACAGUCAUUGUUAUUAAAAAUUUCUCUAAAGUUCUAGCUUUUGCUGAAACAUUUCACUAUCUUUAUUGUCCAUGGUCUUCAGUAAAAGUAGAGAGAAGUAUCGGAAUUCUAAAACUAAAAUUAGCAUAGCUCUCAGAAACCCACAAACUUCCAAGGCCCAAACUACUAUUAUUGGCCUUGUGACAAUAAGAUCAAACCUUGCUAGGACCCACAGGUUAUCUCCUAUUGAGUUAAUAGCAGAUUGUCUCAUGCAUUUGGAAAUUUCACUUCUAAUCCAGAUUCUACCUUGUUACAGGCUUAUAUGAUUAGAUACUCAUACAACACUUCUGGCUUUAUUAACAGGUAAUAAGGUACAUUUACAAAAUACCCACUUAAAUAGACUCUGCAUAAUCUAAAAUCUGAAGAUUUGGUCUUCUCAAAUAGAUUUCAGAAAAAAACUGAGUUUGAACCUACUUGGACAAGAUUUUUCAGGUACUGCUACCAAGUGGCAUGACAAUAAAACUCUAAGUUGUUGAUAGUUUUAUUCAUGUUUCUCAACCUAAAAGACAUAUAUCGCUUCCUCCUAACUACUAGGAUAUCCAUUCUGUCAAAAUACCUUAAACUGAGGAUUCGUAGGAAUCCUCCAGAAGCCAGCUACUACAGAAGUGGAUAGCUUCCACCCAAAACAAUGAAAUAAGCUUUUACCUUCAAAAAUGAGCAGUUUACACCCAAGACAAUGCAACAAGAUUGAUUUUGCAACACUCUUCUGAAUCUUUGCAUUACUACUAAUCUUAUGCUCCUUAUCUUCAUCCUGUUAUCUUUGACCCCAUAUAGUCUCCUUCUGUCACUUACAGAAAAACAAAAUUCUCUCAUAUAUUUUUCCCAAACCAUAGCUACUCUGAAUUUAACUGAUUGCUGGAUAUAAUAUCUUUCACUUGACCUUGCUGAAAUAUGUAUAUGUAUACAUAUAUGCAAAUACUUCAUGGUGCACCUGUAUCUAUAAGACAAAUAAAUAAGCCCAUGAUUACCUGGCUCUAUAAAUAGACCCAGCUGGGUUCAUUGCCUAUAUUUUAUAAUAUAGGUCCGUGACUUCAAGAAUUAAGGACUAAUAAUCAAUUUUUUUCUGAAAAUUUCUUGUGUUACAGUUGGUCCACGGAUCCUGUCUAGAGACUUAAAUGCUACUUCUCAGCCCUGUCACAUCAAAGGAUUCAACUCUGCCUGAAACAAAUAGAGCAGUAGAGAGUGACCUGAGUCCACCAUCAAACUGUAUGUAUUCUCUAAAUAACCUCUGAUCAGCAAAAUCUCAGCAAUGAUUAAAACCUGGACAUCAUGGAUUAAUUUCAUGUGGCCUUACUUUGUCUGCCCUUGGCUGCGAGGGGACACUGGAAAAGUGAAAAGUAGCCCCUGACAUACAUGAGCUUGCCUAGCAUACUAUCACGAAGGUCUUGGUGCUCUCCUAUUGAACAUGAAAAUGUUUAUACAUCAUCAACUUCAGAUAAGACCACUCUGUGACUACGCCUGAUCCAGACAAAAACAUGACUACUCCAUAAUCAGAUCUGAACACUGAAAAAAUAUGAAGAUUGUCUAAGCCACAAAAAUUACCCAAAAUGCCCAUAUCCUGGCUAACAUGAGUGAAAGCUACUUCUUUACCAAGUAUAUUCUUAGCCUGAUUCUAGGCUUCCAUCCUUCUAGAUAAAAUUUAUUAAGAUACCCAAACAUAGAAUUAUGCCCACUCUCUCAUAAGAUCAAAUCUAGAGUGAACACCCACAUCCUUUCAAUCCUCCCCCAAAUGAAUCCCAAAUCCUAUAAGUUCUUCUGACAUCCUCUUACCGAGGAUGACUUUCCACAAUGUGUGUUAUCCCUGAAAUGAGUAAUAAAUCCAAUUUGUUACACUACUGGUAUGUUCUUGGUGGGCGACAACAAGAAGGCAUUUAUACUCAAAAGCAUUAUUGAGAAAGAUUAGGGAAGACAAAGAUGAAUGGAGGUGUACUGGAAGAUUCCAUAUUUUAAAGAUAUUGAUUCUCCCCCAAAUUGAAAAGUGACAAUCAAAAUGCCAAGGCUUUUGUGUCAACAUUGGGAAUGAAUUCUAAAAUUUAUAUAGAAAUGCAAUGGGGCAUGAAUAGUCAAGGCAAUCUUAAAGAACAGAGCUGGAAGACUAAAAUUACCAUAUAUUAAUACCUGUCAUAAAAUUAAAACAAUUAAGACUGUGAUCUUAUUACAAGGAUAAACAACCCAACCAAUGGAACAACAUUCAUCAUAUAGAAACAAACCCACACAUAUUUGAUCACUUGAUUUAUGACAAAUGUGAUACUAUAUAUAGUACCAUGAUGAAAGGUGUGUUUUUUUUCAAUAAUGGUGCCUGAUCAAUUGAAAAUUGGUAUGGUAUGUUACCAUCUACCAUAUGGUACAAAAGAAACAAAUCUUGACCUCUGACUUCACAUCAUACUCAAAAAUAAGUUCCAAAUGAUUUUUAGAUCUCAAAAUGAAACAUAAAACAAUAUACAUUUUUGGAAGCAAGCAUAAAAAACUUCAUUGUCACCUGGUGUACACAAAGAUUUCUUAAACAUGAUUUAAAAAGCACAAGCCAGAAAGAAAAUCAAUUGUUAUAUAUAAUAAUAAGAACUUCUUGCCAGCAAAUUGGUAUUAACUGAUCAACACCUAAGUGGACAUAUAGGAAUAACAUUUAUCAAGCAUUGGGCAGAUGGGAGGG